UAACAAGACCGUCAGUCAAAUUAAAGCAAGCAAAACAAGUCAUAUAAUUAUCUUAAUGCUACUUAUCACGAAUGUGCAACAAUUAGCUAAGGUCAAAAUUGUCGAGGAGCGUAGCUCAUUCGUAGUGAUACACAUUAUAUAUAAUCCCUAAUAAGGAGAAUACAGGUAUAACAACACUGUAAAUGGAGGGUUUUAGUCGCUCUAGAAGUUUGGCAUGUCAUUAAAUCCACUAAUUGUGGUUGUCCACGCCUAAUCUCCCUUGGAUAAAAACACUUACCUGCACAGCUCCUCCAUGAUCCCAGACUUAUAUAUGCUUUUCUAAUACAAGAGCGAAACCCAUGUCUGCAAUAAUGUGAAACCGAUCAAAACCCUUUUUCCUCAGUUUCAGAUGUACGCAAAUAUAGAGAGAGAGUUGGGAUAUUAUGAGGGCGUGUUUCAUCAGAAACGAGGAGGGUGGAAAGGGUGGGGGACUAGUGGAAGGUGAGAUGAGGAAGGCCAAAAAAAGACUGAAGGGAGAUGUGGGUUUUUCACCAGUAACGAGGGAAGAGAAGGGAAUAACCAUGAUGAUGAAGAUGAUCCUUUGAUCCUUCUAAAUAUGCCCUUCCCUUAUAGGGGAAUGAACCAUCCAAUCUUAAUUAUAUUUUUUAUCUAUCUUUUUUAGUCUGAAAAACACCCCUUAUCUUCCUCAGUCCUUCUACCUCCCUCUUUAAUCUUCUACCUCCCUCUUUAAUUAAUGACGCCAUCUCACUCUCUCUCUUAUUUACUGUUCUUCCUUCAUUGCAUCUUAAAUAGGAGAACCCCAUCAGCAUCUACUCCACUCUCCUGUUUUCAUUUAUACACUCUUUUCUUUCUUUCUCUUCUCUUCUCUUCUGUUCCUUUCUCUUCGUGUCUCAGUGGUGAAUACAAGGACAGUUAGUUUAUCAUUUUUAGUUUGCUUUCAUGGGGGUUUAGCAAAGGGCUUCUUACAGAGUUUAUUGGCAUUCUGUCCACCUCCCCAUCAUGGAAAAAGUCCGUAUUUUUCCCCUCUGGUUUUUCAUGGAGGUGGGCAUACUGCCAACUGGGCUCUGUUGGCUUCUCUUUGUAAAAUCCUUGUGAUGCAUUUCUUCCAGCUUUCGUCUCACUCUGAUGAACUUCCAGGUUUAGUGUCGACACCUUCUGGUUAUCUAUGCAUUGCCAGGUAUCUUUACUACUUCAUACGAAAAGAAAUGGAAUGAAGAACAUUUUACCAUCUAUUUGGUGCUUUCAUCAUGCUAGCUUCUGCUAGUUGCAGGUUUUGAUUAUCAGUAGUUAGAUAUGUACUGACUAGUCUACUGAGGUUUGAGGGUGCGUGCCACCAUCUUGAGGCACUACCUUCUGUUUUCUUAUUUCUGUAACUGGUCUUAUUUUAAUCCGCCUUUGAAUCUUUGACUGCUAAUUAAGAGCCCUAACUAGGUUUUACAGAUUAA